AUGUGUUGUCGAAGGCUUUCAUGGCCAGGAUCACUGGGUUGCUGUGAGUUUUCCGGGUUGUAUAGCUGUGUUCUAAAAGCAUUCUCUUCUGACGUUUUGCCCACAUCUAUGGCAAGCAUCCUCAGAGGAAGCCAGGUCUGUUGGAAACUAAGCAAGUGGGGUUUGUACAUCUUUGUUGAGAGGUGUUAGCUGGCCCUGAUUGUUUCAUGUUUGGAAUUCCCCUGUUUUUGAGUGUUCUUUUUUUACUGUCCUGAUUUUAUUUAUUUAUUUAUUUAUUUCCCAUACUUCUGUCCCGCCCUUCUCACUCGAAGAGGACUCAGGGUGGCCUCACAAUUGGCAACAAUUCGAUGGCCGACAUACAAAUUCCAAUAAUAUAAUGACAAUUAAACUCAAACAUUAAAACAAAAACUACUAAAAACAACAAUUACAACCACAUAAGUUCAAAAUCAUAGUCCAGAAUCAGUCCAGUGGUCAAUACUUUAAAAGUCCUCAAUUAUUGCACUGCUAGGAAUAAUGCUCAAUAACCAUAACCAUGUCUAGCAAGGCUAUUCUAUGCUAAUCAAGGUGAUCAACUGCAGUUAUUCAUACUUGCCCUUCAUAUUAUCCAACAUUUUUGCUUAUCCAAUGCUCUGCUGGCCCGUUCAUGUGGUUUGGUGUGUGUGUGGGGGGGGGGGGGCACCAAAAUUUCUAUUCGCUUACACUUGAAAAUUAUCUUGGGCCGGCUCUGGUGGUAUUCUUGGAUCAAAGUUCUUCAUUUCAGUAGCAUUUAUUAUUAUCUGUGGUUCUGCAUAUUCGUCCAAUCUUGGAACAUAACCUCCAUGGAUAUAGGGGUCACACUGUACAGGAAAACCAAUAAUUUGUGGUGAUGUUAACAGUUGCAGUGAUUUAUAAAGUUGUUGAAGUACACUGGAGAGCAUACAGCAUCUAGAUAAUAUUAGGGAUAGUGAACACUCCUAUUGUAAUUUUGGAAAGGUGGAGGGGUUCUUUGGAAAGGUGGAGGGGUUAAGAUCUGUGAUUUAUUUUUAGUUUUUGAAAACACCAGAUAUUGGUAAAGUAUGUAAGAGCAGAAUUCUUCUUUUUAUUUUCUUUUACAGAAAUGUACAUAUAGUGUUUUUCUUUGCUUUUGUGACACAGGUUUGUUCUUUAUCUGUUGCAUCAUGAGUGUGUUAUUUGAUUUUGUGUUUUGCUUGGUGAAAAAGUGUUUUUAAGACAUACAGGACACAUUUUAGGGGAAUGUUGGGCAAGUUUUCAGGAGAG
rnacentral:lncRNA from 1 species